rnacentral:rRNA from 1 species
UACGGAGGGUGCGAGCGUUGUCCGGAAUCACUGGGCGUAAAGGGCGCGUAGGUGGCCUGUGGAAGUCUGCGGUGAAAGCCCGGCGCUCAACGCCGGGUCGGCCGUGGAUACUCUCGGGCUUGAGCUUACUAGAGGCAGAUGGAAUUCCGGGUGUAGCGGUGGAAUGCGUAGAGAUCCGGAAGAACACCGGUGGCGAAGGCGGUCUGCUGGGGUAAUGCUGACACUGAUGCGCGGCAGCGUGGGGAGCAAACAGG